AGGAGACAGGUGGUGCAUGGUUGUCGGUCAGCUCGUGUCGUGAGAUGUUGGGUUAAGUCCCGCAACGAGCGCAACCCCUACGUUUAGUUGCUAACGCGUGAAGGCGAGCACUCUAGACGAACUGCCGUUGACAAAACGGAGGAAGGUGGGGAUGACGUCAAAUCAUCAUGCCCCUUAUGUUCUGGGCUACACACGUGCUACAAUGGCCGGUACAGACGGACGCAAAGCCGCGAGGUGGAGCAAAUCCUAAAAAGCCGGUCUCAGUUCGGAUUGCAGGCUGCAAUUCGCCUGCAUGAAGUCGGAAUCGCUAGUAAUCGCAGGUCAGCAUACUGCGGUGAAUACGUUCCCGGGCCUU
rnacentral:rRNA from 1 species